rnacentral:rRNA from 1 species
UACGGGGGGUGCGAGCGUUGUCCGGAAUUAUUGGGCGUAAAGAGCUCGUAGGCGGUUUGUUGCGUCGGCUGUGAAAUCCCGAGGCUCAACCUCGGGUCUGCAGUCGAUACGAGCAAACUAGAGUGUUGCAGGGGAGACUGGAAUUCCUGGUGUAGCGGUGAAAUGCGCAGAUAUCAGGAGGAACACCGGUGGCGAAGGCGGGUCUCUGGGCAACAACUGACGCUGAGGAGCGAAAGCGUGGGGAGCGAACAGG